UGUGGGAGCGGGCUUGCCCGCGAUGCCGGCGGUUCAGUCAAUGAUGUGUCGACUGAUACACCGCAAUCGCGGGCAAGCCCGCUCCCACA
rnacentral:misc_RNA from 1 species